GGCAAACAGACAAACGUUUUGAUGCAAAGAAAGCAUUGGAUUUGAAAGUUCCCAUGGAGAAGAAAAAUGGAGAGAUUCUAAAAGUAUGAAGAUACUCCUGUGUAUAAUGAGGAAAUCUUGUCAGUGAAUGUUGUUGCAAUUGUGGACCAGGCCAGAGUUGUACUAAACCAACUAAGACACAAUGAGAUACAGGAAUGACACAAUGAGAAACAGGAAACAGGAAAGUGAUGACUGAUCGCCACCUGUUACAAAUUCA